ACUAUGACAGCAGGUGUUAUGAGGUACAGGACAGUAGAUACUAUGACAGCAGGUGAGGUACAGGACAGUAGAUACUAUGACAGCAGGUGUUAAGAGGUACAGGACAGUAGAUACUAUGACAGCAGGUGUUAUGAGGUACAGGACAGUAGAUACUAUGACAGCAGGUGAGGUACAGGACAGUAGAUACUAUGACAGCAGGUGAGGUACAGGACAGUAGAUACUAUGACAGCAGGUGAGGUACAGGACAGUAGAUACUAUGACAGCAGGUGUUAUGAGGUACAGGACAGUAGUUACUAUGACAGCAGGUGUUAUGAGGUACAGGACAGUAGAUACUAUGACAGCAGGUGUUAAGAGGUACAGGACAGUAGAUACUAUGACAGCAGGUGUUAUGAGGUACAGGACAGUAGAUACUAUGACAGCAGGUGAGGUACAGGACAGUAGAUACUAUGACAGCAGGUGAGGUACAGGACAGUAGAUACUAUGACAGCAGGUGUUAAGAGUUACAGGACAGUAGAUACUAUGACAGCAGGUGUUAAGAGUUACAGGACAGUAGAUACUAUGACAGCAGGUGUUAUGAGGUACAGGACAGUAGUUACUAUGACAGCAGGUGUUAUGAGGUACAGGACAGUAGAUACUAUGACAGCAGGUGUUAAGAGGUACAGGACAGUAGAUACUAUGACAGUGGGUGUUAAGAGUGACAGGACAGUAAUACUAUGACAGUGGGUGUGGAAGACCACAACUGUCAGAUUUUGCAUCAUUAAAAUGAAAUGGAGAGAAAUAAUAAGAACUAAAUAACUUGGUUGACUAGUCUCACAUAAAUGACUGUUAACUUUCGUUAAUAUAUGUUAUAUAUGACGGGAAAUGGCUAGCAAGUGAAAGAGUUUCACCAGAUAAUGGAAUGGGACUUUAGAAAUGCUA